AUGACCCAGGGCUACGACACGUACUACAAUGGCCGGUACAAAGGGCAGCGACACAGCCGAUGGUGAAGCCAAUCCCGAAAAAGCCGGUCUCAGUCCGGAUUGGAGUCUGCAACUCGACUCCAUGAAGUUGGAAUCGCUAGUAAUCGCGGAUCAGCAUGCCCGCGGUCGAAUACGUUCCCGGGCCUU
rnacentral:rRNA from 1 species